rnacentral:piRNA from 1 species
UGAACAUUGGUGUAUGGGUGUCUGAUGACUU